ensembl:lncRNA
UACUAUUGCUACUACUAAUAAUACCAUUACUACUUUGCUACUACUACUACUACCAUUAUUUCUACUACCAUUACUACUACUGCUACUACUACAUUACUACCACUACUACUACCACCACUAAUACUACUACCAUUAUUCUGCUACCAUUACUACUAAUACUAUUACUACCACUACCAUUACUACUAUUACUACUACUACUACCACUACCAUUACUACUACUACUACUACUACUACUACUACUACUACCAUUACUACUAAUACUAUUACUACCACUACCAUUACUACUAUUACUACUACUACUACCACUACCAUUACUACUACUACUACUACUACUACUACUACUACUAUUACUACUACUACUACCACUACCAUUACUACUACUACUACUACUACUACUACUACUAUUACUACUACUACUACCACUACCAUUAUUUCUACUACCAUUACUACUACUACUACUACUACUACUACUACCAUUACUACUGCUACCACUACUACUUUCUAAUGCCAUUACUACUUCUACCAUUACUAAAUCUGUCAUUCUGCCCCUGAACAAGGCAGUUAGCCCACUGUUCCUAGUCAUUGAAAAUAAGAAUUUGUUCUAAACUGAUUUGCCUAGUUAAAUGAAGGUUAAAAAAAGAAAAACAAUUACUACUGCCACUACUACCAUUACCAUUACUACCUUUACUAUUGCUACUACUACUAAUACCAUUACUACUACUACUACUACUACUCCUACUACCAUUACUACUUCUACUACCUUUACUAUUGCUACUACUAAUAAUACCAUUACUACUACUACUACUACUACUCCUACUACCAUUACUACUACUACUACCAUUACUAUUGCUACUACUAAUAAUACCAUUACUACUACUACUACUACUACUCCUACUACCAUUACUACUUCUACUACCAUUACUAUUGCUACUACUAAUAAUACCAUUACUACUACUACUACUACUACUCCUACCUCCAUUACUACUACUACUACCAUUACUACUACUACUACCAUUACUAUUGCUACUACUAAUAAUACCAUUACUACUACUACUACUACUACUACUACCACCAUUACUACUACUACUACUACUACUACCACCAUUACUACUAUUACCAUUACUACUACCACUACCAUUUAAAACAGCAGGCCUUGUUGUCCGGUAGCAGGCUGAAAACAGCAGGCCUUGUUGUCCGGUAGCAGGCUGAAAACAGCAGGCCUUUUUGUUCGGUAGCAGGCUGAAAACAGCAGGCCUUGUUGUCUGGUAGAAGGCUGAAAACAGCAGGCCUUGUUGUCUUGUAACAGGCUGAAAACAGCAGGCCUUGUUGUCUGGUAACAGGCUGAAAACAGCAGGCCUUGUUGUCUGGUAACAGGCUGAAAACAACAGGCCUUGUUGUCCAGUAGCAGGCUGAAAACAGCAGGCCUUGUUGUCUGGUAGAAGGCUGAAAACAGAAGACCUUGUUGUCCGGUAGCAGGCUGAAAACAGCAAGCCUUGUUGUCCGGUAGCAGUCUGAAAACAGCAAGCCUUGUUGUCCGGUAGCAGGCUGAAAACAGAAGACCUUGUUGUGAUCCACUGUACAUUGUUAUCCUUUUCAGAACAUGCUGAAUGGUUGGUUGGAUGUGUGGGUGGAGUUGGACCAGAGGAACGUUUUGGCACUGCGUUAUCAGUAGGGAUGGAGUGGGUGACCUAAUCUAUGGAUAGGUGUCAUUAAAUUAGAACAGGAAUGUACAGUAUUAUGUGACAUGAUUUGUGUGGUGUGUAACCUUGAUUUACCUCAGAGUGAGAUGGCUUAUAUCAUAUAAAGUUCAGUAAACUCCAAAAGUAUUGGGCCAUUGACACACUCCAGCACUUUCAUUUGGACAAUUCUGUGGCAAAACGUUUCCUAGAAGGGAAGCAGACAUAAUGGAACGGGGAGGAGUUUACCUGAAGUUGUCCAAUAGAAGCUCUCGUUUUAGAUGACUGUUUGACUAACGAUUACACACCAGGUUCGCUGAAAAAAAAGUGUGCUGUUUUAAAAUAAUUUUUUAUUAGCGAUUGUCAAGAAUGCAGAUAUUAUUAUUUUUCCUGAUUUUUUUUUUGCAAUAUUUGAUCGAAAGGCUAAGAGAGCUUCAUACGCUGUUUAUUGAUUGUGGGGUUUGAAUAGUGUGAGAAUACAGCGUAGGGUACUAAAAAAUAAAAAAUAAUUACAGAAGUUAUUCUUCUGUUAUUUAUUAUUACGUGUUAAUAGUAUCCUCUGAUUACAAUUAUUCUAUCUAAUAUUUUAACUAAAUGUAAUCUAUUAGCUAUUAAAAUCUAAGCGGUAUUACAUCCGGCCGUGAUUGGGAGUCCCAAAGGGUGGCGCACAAUUGGCCCAGCGUCGUCCGUCAUUGUAAAUAAGAAUUUGUUAUUAACUGACUUGCCUAGUUAAAUAAUGGUUAAAUUAAAAUAAAAAUAUCUAUCAGUCUGGACUGAUGGAAGGGCUUGUCCUGUACUUUGUAAAGACCCAGAGUACAUUGACUGAAUGUCCUUUCUAUACAUAGCAACAUAAAGGACUCGGACUAAAACACAGGUGGUGUGAACUGGCAGAAGAGUUGAGUCCUCAUUCAAAGGCAAGGGCAGUGUGAACACAAAGAGAACAGAGUUAUUUUGUUUUGUUUUACCCCAGGGUUUGCUUUAAAGAGGACUCCUACUCAAUGUGGUAGUCGAAAGGACCACUCAGUAAUAAUCGUCGUCUUCUUCAAGCACUGCUUCAAGCUCAUUGUUGUUGUCGUCAUCCUCCUCUAUGUCCUUACUACUACCAUUACUGUUACUACCAUUACUACUACUACU